GACGAACGCUGGCGGCGUGCUUAACACAUGCAAGUCGAACGGAAAGGCCCUGCUUUUGUGGGGUGCUCGAGUGGCGAACGGGUGAGUAACACGUGAGUAACCUGCCCUUGACUUUGGGAUAACUUCAGGAAACUGGGGCUAAUACAGGAUAGGAGCUCCUGCUGCAUGGUGGGGGUUGGAAAGUUUCGGCGGUUGGGGAUGGACUCGCGGCUUAUCAGCUUGUUGGUGGGGUAGUGGCUUACCCAGGCUUUGACGGGUAGCCGGCCUGAGAGGGUGACCGGCCACAUUGGUACUGAGAUACGGCCCAGACUCCUACGGGAGGCAGCAGUGGGGAAUAUGGCACAAUGGGCGGAAGCCUGAUGCAGCAACGCCGCGUGCGGGAUGACGGCCUUCGGGUUGUAAACCGCUUUCGCCUGUGACGAAGCGUGAGUGACGGUAAUGGGUAAAGAAGCACCGGCUAACUACGUG
rnacentral:rRNA from 1 species